rnacentral:rRNA from 1 species
GAUGAACGCUGGCGGCGUGCCUAAUACAUGCAAGUCGAGCGAACGGACGAGAAGCUUGCUUCUCUGAUGUUAGCGGCGGACGGGUGAGUAACACGUGGAUAACCUACCUAUAAGACUGGGAUAACUUCGGGAAACCGGAGCUAAUACCGGAUAAUAUUUUGAACCGCAUGGUUCAAAAGUGAAAGACGGUCUUGCUGUCACUUAUAGAUGGAUCCGCGCUGCAUUAGCUAGUUGGUAAGGUAACGGCUUACCAAGGCAACGAUGCAUAGCCGACCUGAGAGGGUGAUCGGCCACACUGGAGCUGAGACACGGUCCAGACUCCUACGGGAGGCAGCAGUAGGGAAUCUUCCGCAAUGGGCGAAAGCCUGACGGAGCAACGCCGCGUGAGUGAUGAGGGUCUUCGGAUCGUAAAACUCUGUUAUUAGGGAAGAACAUAUGUGUAAGUAACUGUGCACAUCUUGACGGUACCUAAUCAGAAAGCCACGGCUAACUACGUG